AUGAGAGUUGGCAACACCCGAAGCCUGUAGCUUAACCGCAAGGACGGCGCAGUCGAAGGUGGGGUCAUGAUUAGGGUUAAGUCGUAACAAGGUAAC
rnacentral:rRNA from 1 species